rnacentral:rRNA from 1 species
UACGUAGGGUGCGAGCGUUAAUCGGAAUUACUGGGCGUAAAGCGUGCGCAGGCGGCGCGUUAAGACAGGUGUGAAAGCCCCGAGCUUAACUUGGGAAUUGCGCUUGUGACUGGCGUGCUGGAGUGUGGCAGAGGGAGGUGGAAUUCCACGUGUAGCAGUGAAAUGCGUAGAGAUGUGGAGGAACACCGAUGGCGAAGGCAGCCUCCUGGGCCGGCACUGACGCUGAUGCGCGAAAGCGUGGGGAGCAAACAGG